rnacentral:misc_RNA from 1 species
UGUUCUAUUAUCGAACUGUUUAAUUUUACAAGGCUUUCAUAUGUUGAAGAACAAGAAAUAUACAACCACCAGCAUUAGAAAGCCCUCGCACCUGGUAUUAACAAACAAUAGGGAUCAACAUAGGUCGUUGGGAAUAUGCAUAUGAUUACAACCAACUACUCUGGUUCAAGACGUAUCUGCUAAUAUAAAAAAUACCAAAUACCCGGAAUGACACAAAAAUUUGAUAUGAAGGCCCUAAUGAGAUGUGGCCGAUGCUAAAACUCUGAGCCUUGUGAUCUACAUUAAUUUGUAUGCAAUCCUUUUGAGCAUUAAUAUUUCCUUGUCAAGCACAAGGAAUCCAAGAUAUCAACAAUCAGUAGUGGAACAAUCUUAACUUAAUCCCCUUGGUUUGAA